rnacentral:SRP_RNA from 1 species
UUUUUGGUCUCUCGCAAUAGGUUUUAGUUUAUUUGGUCAGGUUCGGAAGAAAGCAGCCAGGAUUGAAAUUUCUAUGUGCCGAGAAUCGCUGGAAAUGC